AGUGAACGCUGGCGGUAGGCCUAACACAUGCAAGUCGAACGGCAGCACAGUAAGAGCUUGCUCUUACGGGUGGCGAGUGGCGGACGGGUGAGGAAUACAUCGGAAUCUACUUUUUCGUGGGGGAUAACGUAGGGAAACUUACGCUAAUACCGCAUACGACCUACGGGUGAAAGCAGGGGAUAUUCGGACCUUGCGCGAUUGAAUGAGCCGAUGUCGGAUUAGCUAGUUGGCGGGGUAAAGGCCCACCAAGGCGACGAUCCGUAGCUGGUCUGAGAGGAUGAUCAGCCACACUGGAACUGAGACACGGUCCAGACUCCUACGGGAGGCAGCAGUGGGGAAUGUUGGACAAUGGGCGCAAGCCUGAUCCAGCCAUACCGCGUGGGUGAAGAAGGCCUUCGGGUUGUAAAGCCCUUUUGUUGGGAAAGAAAAGCAGCAGGUUAAUACCCCGCUGUUCUGACGGUACCCAAAGAAUAAGCACCGGCUAACUUCGUG
rnacentral:rRNA from 1 species